GGUGUCGAGCACGUGGAGUGCGCGCGGUCUGUAACACCGCUGCCUUUGGCGAUGGGAGUUCGAUUCUCUCCGGCACCA
rnacentral:tRNA from 1 species